rnacentral:telomerase_RNA from 13 species
UUAUACCCGCACAUUCACUCAAAUCUGUAAUAGACUUGUCAUUCAACCCCAAAAAUCUAGUGCAAAUAUUACCUUCGCCAAUUAGGUACAAUUAAUGGUUCUCGCGGGACAAAAGACUAUCGACAUUUGAUACAUUAUUUAUCAAUGGAUGUCUUAUUUUUCUU